rnacentral:tRNA from 1 species
GUUUUAGUGGUGUACUGGUAUUGCACGCAAGAUUUUCGUUUUUGAGGUAAGGAAUUUCCUUCUAAAACU